CUUCUGCGUCGCUCACGCUGGGAGCUGUAGACCGGAGCUGUUCCUAUUCGGCCAUCUUGGCUCCUCCAGGCCAAUUUACUUUCAAAAAUACCUGCAUCCAGGAACUCUCAUGCUAGCAGGAUGAGGUAAUGACUAUUUCCCAUACUCGUGUCAACUUUGAGCAAUGCUAGGAAUUUCCAUAUGUCCAAACAACUGUUUAUCAGGAAAUGCAACAAGGUACUUUUGACACUGAGCGUGAAAGGAACUCAUUGAACCAAAAUCUUCCAAAAAGACUGGAACAUAAGAGAGCGGAUGAAGAGCAUAAUAGAAGAGAAGUGCCAGGGAGGAGGAUUAUCUUAGGCAGAGCACACUGAGGAUGGAGAGUUACCAGCCCUCCCGAGCUGUCGUUGGCACUGAACCAAUGAGAGCCAUUCAUGUGCCUGUCUGUGCCUUGUGUUUUUCUUCUUCAACAUAUACUUUAGAACAUCCAUUCUGUGCAAAGCUCUGUGCCCACAGCUGUUGAGAUGCCAGAUGCAUGCUGUUCCCUGCCCUGAAGACCCCAGCAGUCAGGCCAGGGAGAGAAGACAUUCUUAGACAACCCAACAGUCGUCCCUGGGGAAAGCUCCUCAAAGGCUCGAAGCCAGCCUGAGUGGGCCACUUGAAGAGCCACGGGCUGUGGGAAGAUACGGAGAGGCUACUCCGACGUGGGGAGGAGGAAGCACGGUUUCGGGGAAGUGGCCAAGUGGCUUAAGUGAGGAGGGUCUGCUUGAAGGUGGCAGGUCUGCUUGAAGCGGCUUCCUGAAGAGGUGAGCUUAUCACCGGCAUCCUGUGUCCCUUCAGGUUCCCUGAGAACUGGGUCAAGAAAGCAGGUUGGGGUAGGAAACAAACGACACCCCCAUUUCAAACAAUAACUUUUAUUUUAUACUUCUCUAUACUUUGUAGCAAAUCUUUUUUUGCUGAAUUUAAUUUAUAAUAAACUUUUUAAAUUACAUCUCUCUCUCUUUUUUUUUUAAAAUCAAGGCUCUUUUAUGUCAAAAUCUUUUUUUAGCUAUAUUUUAGAUUAACAUUUAACAUCCCCCCCUUGUGAUCUAUACCGUUGGAUAUUCAGGUAUUACUGUGUGUGUAACAGCUAAAACAAGAGGGAGGAGGGAAAAUAAAGGCAGUGAACUUGGACGGAUGCAUCAACAACAGCAGAUAAAGCUAACCCCUCAGUGACCAUAGCAGCAUGUCUUCUGGAAGCCUUUACUCUUACCCCAGAGAUUUCCUCAGCCCCUUCCCUCUCUCCCUCCUAUCCUCCAAACACAAAGCCAACAGUCUGUCCUUUCGCUUUUCUUGAGGAGAAAUGUGCAGUGGAAAUGAUCAAAACAAGAUACUGUGGAAGAACGACGUGAGCGUGAAUUAUUCACCGUAUGUUUCGUCCGUGGACAUCUCUCUUGAAUUCAUUCCCCUGGCCUUCUCCUCUCCUCGCCUUCCUAUUAGGAGGAGCCCAUCAUUUUUCAUGUUACUAGCAUGAUUAAUAUAGUAGGUGGCCCAGGGCCGUUCCUGAGAUUCUUUUGC
rnacentral:lncRNA from 1 species